AGAAUCAACGCUGGCGGCGUGCCUAACACAUGCAAGUCGAACGAGAAAGUGGAGCAAUCCAUUAGUAAAGUGGCGCACGGGUGAGUAACACGUGACUAACCUACCUUUUAGUGGGGGAUAACCUAGGGAAACCUGGGCUAAUACCGCAUAAUACCUACGGGUCAAAGCAGCAAUGCGCUGAAAGAGGGGGUCGCGGUCGAUUAGUUAGUUGGCAGGGUAAUGGCCUACCAAGACUGUGAUCGAUAUCCGGCCUGAGAGGGCGCACGGACACACUGGAACUGAAACACGGUCCAGACUCCUACGGGAGGCAGCAGUGGGAAUUUGCGCAAUGGGGGAAACCCUGACGCAGCAACGCCGCGUGGAGGAUGAAGUCCCUUGGGACGUAAACUCCUUUCGAUCGGGACGAUAAUGACGGUACCGGAAGAAGAAGCCCCGGCUAACUUCGUGCCAGCAGCCGC
rnacentral:rRNA from 1 species